AUUGAACGCUGGCGGCAUGCCUUACACAUGCAAGUCGAACGGUAACGGGCCUUCGGGUGCCGACGAGUGGCGAACGGGUGAGUAAUGCAUCGGAACGUACCUUUCAGUGGGGGAUAACGUAGCGAAAGUUACGCUAAUACCGCAUAUUCUGUGAGCAGGAAAGCAGGGGAUCGCAAGACCUUGUGCUGAUUGAGCGGCCGAUGUCAGAUUAGCUAGUUGGUGAGGUAAAGGCUCACCAAGGCGACGAUCUGUAGCGGGUCUGAGAGGAUGAUCCGCCACACUGGAACUGAGACACGGUCCAGACUCCUACGGGAGGCAGCAGUGGGGAAUUUUGGACAAUGGGGGCAACCCUGAUCCAGCCAUGCCGCGUGAGUGAAGAAGGCCUUCGGGUUGUAAAGCUCUUUCGGUCGGGAAGAAAUCGCAUGGGUUAAUACCCUGUGCGGAUGACGGUACCGGCAUAAGAAGCACCGGCUAACUACGUGCCAGCAGCCGCCGUAG
rnacentral:rRNA from 1 species